rnacentral:rRNA from 1 species
CCUACGGGGGGCUGCAGUGGGGAAUAUUGGACAAUGGGGGGAACCCUGAUCCAGCCAUGCCGCGUGUGUGAAGAAGGCCCUCGGGUUGUAAAGCACUUUCAGUGAGGAAGAACGCCUGGUGGUUAAUACCCAUCAGGAAAGACAUCACUCACAGAAGAAGCACCGGCUAACUCCGUGCCAGCAGCCGCGGUAAUACGGAGGGUGCGAGCGUUAAUCGGAAUUACUGGGCGUAAAGCGCGCGUAGGUGGCUUGAUAAGCCGGUUGUGAAAGCCCCGGGCUCAACCUGGGAACGGCAUCCGGAACUGUCAAGCUAGAGUGCAGGAGAGGAAGGUAGAAUUCCCGGUGUAGCGGUGAAAUGCGUAGAGCUCGGGAGGAAUACCAGUGGCGAAGGCGGCCUUCUGGACUGACACUGACACUGAGGUGCGAAAGCGUGGGUAGUACACAGGAUUAGAUACCCCUGUAGUC